GUUGAGCCUAAAUCAUUGAACGUACUUCCGGGUUGGAAAGAUUCACGCCCUAGUUACUAUUUACAAUAUAUUGUGACUCGAGAAAUGCGCAGCUCUAGUGUGCAAACUGUGAGUGACAAAGUAGCUGCUAUCACUCUGGGUGUAUCCAUAUGCUAUACAGACUGUUGGUUGGUGUUGUCAACACUGACGGUGAGGAGAGGAAACUUCAGUUGACACAGUUGUCUUCCGUCUCGUGUUCCUUGUAGGCUGCACAGAUAACAUAGACGGACCACGCUGAUUGUAUGAUGGUCAUGUAUCGGAUAUCACGAUUGAUGCUGCUGACAUUCGUUGGCUUCACAGAACACGUAGGUUCUUUAGUCCUGACAAGUUCCCCCAUGACAGCGACAGACGGAGAACUGUUCACCCUGGUCUGCAGCAGAAACACAACUGUUGGGAAAACACAGACAGUGGAGCAGAGAUGAUACAAUAGUCUUGUACACAGCACAAGGUUCCUUCAGUCCCGGUACACCCAACCCUGACAUCUU